GUUUAUACUAAGUGACCCAUAGGUUGAGGAGGCGGUGACCGUGGCGGUGUAGGUGAAAGGAGUGGUGGAGGAGGAGGAUGAGGUAGCAAACACUGUUUUUAUAUAUAUAUAUAUAUAUAUAUAUAUAUAUAUAUAUAUUUUCUAACUGCAGAGUAGCUGUUGACAUUAUAGUUGCGCAGGCACUUUGUUGACUCUAGAGAACCUCGGGCCAAUCGCACAUCCCCGUGGCAGCGACUUUGCAUGCGGAUGUCAUCCAUAUCAACUUUCUGCGCCUACCAUGGUGACCACGGGUAAUGGGGAAUCAGGGUUCCAUUCUGUACAGGGACCCUGAGAAACGGCUACCACAUGCAAGGAAGGCA